AUUGAACGCUGGCGGCAGGCCUAACACAUGCAAGUCGAGCGGAUGAAGGGAGCUUGCUCCUGGAUUCAGCGGCGGACGGGUGAGUAAUGCCUAGGAAUCUGCCUGGUAGUGGGGGAUAACGUCCGGAAACGGGCGCUAAUACCGCAUACGUCCUGAGGGAGAAAGUGGGGGAUCUUCGGACCUCACGCUAUCAGAUGAGCCUAGGUCGGAUUAGCUAGUUGGUGGGGUAAAGGCCUACCAAGGCGACGAUCCGUAACUGGUCUGAGAGGAUGAUCAGUCACACUGGAGCUGAGACACGGUCCAGACUCCUACGGGAGGCAGCAGUGGGGAAUAUUGGACAAUGGGCGAAAGCCUGAUCCAGCCAGGCCGCGUGUGUGAAGAAGGUCUUCGGAUUGUAAAGCACUUUAAGUUGGGAGGAAGGGCAGUAAGUUAAUACCUUGCUGUUUUGACGUUACCAACAGAAUAAGCACCGGCUAACUUCGUG
rnacentral:rRNA from 1 species